UACGGAGGGGGCUAGCGUUGUUCGGAAUUACUGGGCGUAAAGCGCACGUAGGCGGACGCUUAAGUCAGGGGUGAAAUCCCGGGGCUCAACCCCGGAACUGCCUUUGAUACUGGGUGUCUGGAGGUCGAGAGAGGUGAGUGGAAUUCCGAGUGUAGAGGUGAAAUUCGUAGAUAUUCGGAGGAACACCAGUGGCGAAGGCGGCUCACUGGCUCGAUACUGACGCUGAGGUGCGAAAGCGUGGGGAUCAAACAGG
rnacentral:rRNA from 1 species